rnacentral:lncRNA from 1 species
UAGCUAAAGCUAUUGCCAGUAGCUGUGCUCUUACUGAUAGGUGCUCAUUUCUAAGCAAUGUGGCAAAUGCACUUGUUCGAGAGUGCAAGAAAUGCCAGCAGAUGUAAAUUGUAAUAGUUAUUACAUUCACAUAUAUAAUUCCAUAUUAAGUUUUAGAGCCAGGCAAUAUAUGGGCAUACAGUGAAUUGAACCUCUUCUACUAAAUGUUUUACUUGCUGUACAUAUACCAUACACACUGCAGAGGAUCUCAGGGGGAGCGGGCAAUGAAUAGGUCUCUGGUGCCAGAAGGACAAUCCCUGCAGACACUCCAUCCCCAUGCCUUUCAAGCCUCAUAUUCAUGGGACUUCCCAUAUGAUAUUUUUUUUUCUUCCCUGUAUCCAAAGAGGAACAGUCUUGGGUGAGGGAGAGCCCUCAACCUACUGCACUAACAGAGAGAGGAAAGAGGGUCAUAUACUUUAAUUCCCAGUCAACUGAGGUGAUUGAAUUGCCUGUACUUAGCCGGGUGCCUGUUCCUGAUCUUUUGCGUGGCUGGAAGACAAGACCAAACCAGAACUGCCAUCCCUCCCUCCUAGCAUCCUUUUACCCCCAGAAGAUUUGAACAUCUUAACACCCUUCACCCUGAAAGGCACAUUGAGAACUGCAAUAACCAAGCCCUCCCUGUGGUAUUCUAGGGAGCCAGUCCUUCAAAACAGAAGUGAGCUCGAGUGAAGGCUUUCUGCUCUCCUGCCAGCCCAAAAAGCCCACUUUUCCCUGCAGCCCCACGCAGCAUGUGCGGGCUCAGCACGCUGCAUCCAGCGCCCGGCGUGGGAUCACAUCAAAGGCGCUCGGAGGAGCUUCUGCAAGUUGUUCCGCCGUCAGGCAGGGAUCACUGCACCCUGGUCUCCUCCCGCAGUGGGAGCCCUCUCCUCGGCACAGCAAACGUAACGUUACAGAUCCCUCUGCUGUCUUCACGAGGCACGUACAAGAGGUGUCGAUAUCACAUCAGACCAAAAACAGUGGGGCGUCCAGGUGUUGAUCACAGUUUGAGAUUGCUGUGAUAUCAAACUCGCUGAUGUUGUUGUACCUCAAAAAGCCCGAGGGAGGUUUGACCUGAGCCCCAGGAGGAAAUGCAGCAGAUGUGGUGGGACAAAAGGAGUGACCAGCCCUGCGUGUGAGCUCGGUGCUACGUCUCCACUGAGGGAAGAUGGGCCUGUGUAUGAGGCUGCACCCUCCAGGACAGGGAGCAGGC